UAUAUAUAUAUAUAUGUGCGUGAGAUGAUGUCUAUACAUAUAUAUAUAUAUAUAUAUUGUUUUUGGCGCAGGUAUAAUUUUAUUUUCAUUAAUUAAUCACGGACAAGAAAGAAGCAAUGAAGACCCAAGAGGUAGAUGAUAUGGUAAUUGACGAUAAUGGUACUGUACCUACCAACUCGUCAGUGCCUUCCCAAGAAAAUGAAGGAAAAUUGAAGGAAUCAGGUAAACUAACAAGUAAGAUAUAUAUAUAUAUAUAUAUUUAUGCAAUUUAUUAAUUCCAAUUCGUAUAGAUAUAGAUCUGGAUUUGAUAUAUAUAUCUCAGGGUCAGUUGGUGGGAUCAAUCAAGAUUUUGCCGGUAAUACUGAAACAGCGAAGGAGAGUGUGGAGUUUGAGAAAGAGCAGCCUCCAGGUGAUCAGGAAACAACACCACCACAGGUCCAAACUCAUCAGUCUGAUCUGCUU
rnacentral:lncRNA from 1 species